CUCUUUUCUUUGGUCUCUCCCCCUCCUUCCUUCCAUCCCUUCUCCCUCCUUUUCUCAAUUCAGGCCACGACCACCCCUUCAUGAUCUCCCCUCGCCGCCCUUCCCAACGCUCCCGCAGGCUUCGCGUUGCUUUCCUCGAGGACGUUUUUCUUUCGAGAGCAAAAGCGCCUCAACUCUGACGUCUCCUUCCCUUCAGUCGCGCCGGGCUCUUUUCGCUUGGAGGUGCGCCUGCUGUUCUCGGGCUACUCCAGAAUUAGAGCAAUGAAAUCAAGGAGCAUCUGGUUAUUCCUCCUAUUGCUUGAAGUUUUCAUAUCAGUGACUUGUGGAUGGAUGGAAUCAAACUGGAACAGACAAUUUUAUUCUGAUUCUGGGAGGUUAACGCAAGAGGAAUCAAAAAGGGCUGAAGUCUCAAGAAAAG